GAUGAACGCUGGCGGCGUGCUUAACACAUGCAAGUCGAACGGGAAUGCCACGCUGAUGCGAUUUCGGUCAAAUCAUGUGGCAUUCGAGUGGCGGACGGGUGAGUAACGCGUGGGUAACCUGCCUUACACAGGGGGAUAACACCUGGAAACAGGUGCUAAUACCGCAUAAGCGCACAGGGCCGCAUGGCCCGGUGUGAAAAACUCCGGUGGUGUAAGAUGGACCCGCGUCUGAUUAGCUUGUUGGCGGGGUAGGGGCCCACCAAGGCGACGAUCAGUAGCCGGCCUGAGAGGGUGGACGGCCACAUUGGGACUGAGACACGGCCCAG
rnacentral:rRNA from 1 species